rnacentral:rRNA from 1 species
GACGAACGCUGGCGGCGUGCUUAACACAUGCAAGUCGAGCGGUAAGGCCCCUUCGGGGGUACACGAGCGGCGAACGGGUGAGUAACACGUGAGCAAUCUGCCCUUCACUUUGGGAUAACUCUGGGAAACGAGAGCUAAUACCGAAUACGACCACUUCAGGCAUCUGAUGGUGGUGGAAAGUUCCGGCGGUGAAGGAUGAGCUCGCGGCCUAUCAGCUAGUUGGUGGAGUAACGGCCCACCAAGGCUUCGACGGGUAGCCGGCCUGAGAGGGUGACCGGCCACACUGGGACUGAGACACGGCCCAGACUCCUACGGAGGCAGCAGUGGGGAAUAUUGGACAAUGGGCGAAAGCCUGAUCCAGCAACGCCGCGUGAGGGAUGACGGCCUUCGGUU